CGGGGGAACUCCCAGACCAGCUUCCACUCCCUUCAAGAAGCUGGUCUGGGAGUUCCCGGG
ensembl:miRNA MIR7137 microRNA mir-7137